UUUAUUUCUUAUAUAGAAACAAACGUAUACAGUCACAUUUUAAAAUUCUGUAGUCUUAUUAUAUAUAUAUUUUUUUUCUUUAAAUGGAUAACAAACUUUAUAAAAUUGUGUUUCGGCAUGUCUACUGGACAGUUAGCGAAUACCAAGCCGGGCCAAACCAUUUUGUUAAUAAGAUUACCAUUUAUGAAAUGGUCAUAAAGAAGAUGCGGCGCAACAAACAUAACGAAAAUCUAAGGGCUCUAAUAGAUGCAGCCUUAAAAGAGUUAAAAGAGUGUGGUAUUGUGGCCUUUGUGGAGCCGGACCUCUUUGGCAUCUAUAAAGAAAUACCCCCCAAUUCGGCAAUGUUUAGAUCAUAGGCUGCGUCGGGAGCUGCGGGGCUAGGAGUAGCAACUGUUGCGAAAAAAAAAAAACAUACAAAUAGAUAUUAGAAUAAUAUUAUAUAUUUUUUAUAGCGGAAUCAAAACAAGCGGAACUUACAAAUUGUAUCGACCAAGCACUUUCCAAUCUAAAGAGAUCCGGAAUAUAAGCAUACAUAACUCUGCAAUGUUUAAAUAAUUUAACUCCGUUUGUUUUUAAUAAAUUUCCGUCUUCAAACUUUAUUCCAUUUCAGGGGCUCAAACCGCUUUAUUAAAUAUCCAAAUCAAUAGGCCGCCAAGUGCUUGAUAAGGAUUACAAUUUGAAUUCUAAUAUACUGUGCAGUCAGAACUCAACCUUAUUACUCGCCUGGUUUCUCCGUUGGAAAAUAAAAAUGAACACCCUGAAAUCCGUUCAAAUAACAUUUACAUUGAAAAGGGCGAUUGGGCAGAAGUUUUUAACGGUUCAGCAAUUCCGUAAAGCAACUCUGUGAAGGAUCUUAGCUUGCAUCUCGAUCGGAGACUUACAUGGACUACUUCUAGCAACUCAAAUAUUGAAAUUAUUCAGCGCUUUCAGUCAAAAAUAUUGCGAUCCAUACUAAAGAUAGACUUCACAGACACCAAAAUAACCUAGCCCUAAAUCUAACAGUUCAUAGUCCAGCAGUAAGAAGACUUCAAAGAGUGCAUAUUCUCGAUCUCGCGGAAAGAUACAUUAAAUAGGUUAAACUUUAACCUAACAUACAAAAUAAGUAAAAUAUCAAAGUAGGCUUCACUGGAAACUUUCUAUUCCUGUUAUUUUGAAUUAUAGCUGACUAAA